rnacentral:rRNA from 1 species
UGAGGGAAUAUUUGGGGUCAAUGGUCGCGAGACUGAACCAGCCAAGUAGCGUGCAGGAUGACGGCCCUCUGGGUUGUAAACUGCUUUUAGUUGGGAAUAAAAGGCGGUACGUGUACCGCGUAUUGUAUGUACCAUCAGAAAAAGGACCGGCUAAUUCCGUGCCAGCAGCCGCGGUAAUACGGAAGGUCCAGGCGUUAUCCGGAUUUAUUGGGUUUAAAGGGAGCGUAGGCGGAUUUUUAAGUCAGUUGUGAAAGUUUGAGGCUCAACCUUAAAAUUGCAGUUGAAACUGGAAGUCUUGAGUGCACG